CGCCUCUUGCAAAAAUCAACGUAUAAGAGGUCCCACCUGCCCGGUGACUAUGUUUAACGGCCGCGGUAUUUUGACCGUGCAAAGGUAGCGCAAUCACUUGUCUUUUAAAUAAAGACCUGUAUGAACGGUGAAACGAGGGCUUAACUGUCUCCCCUUUCCAAUCAGUGAAAUUGAUUUACCCGUGCAGAAGCGGGCAUAAACCUACAAGACGAGAAGACCCUAUGGAGCUUAAGACAAAAAUCAACUAUUUUUUUACCUUAAUAAAAAAGAGCAUAGACCAAUAAUAGAAAAUGAUUGAAGUUUUCGGUUGGGGCGACCACGGGAAAAAACAAAUCUCCCACGCGGAAAAUAGACUUUCCUCCUGAACCAUGAGGCACACCUCUAAGUCACAGAAUUUCUGACCACCUAGAUCCGGCAAUUUAGCCGAUCAGCGGACCAAGUUACCCUAGGGAUAACAGCGCAAUCCCCUUUAAGAGUCCAUAUCGACAAGGGGGUUUACGACCUCGAUGUUGGAUCAGGACAUCCUAAUGGUGCAGCCGCUAUUAAGGGUUCGUUUGUUCAACGAUUAAAGUCCUACGUGAU
rnacentral:rRNA from 1 species